UACGAAGGGGGCUAGCGUUGUUCGGAUUUACUGGGCGUAAAGCGCACGUAGGCGGAUUGUUAAGUCAGGGGUGAAAUCCCGGAGCUCAACUCCGGAACUGCCUUUGAUACUACUGGUCUUGAAUAUUGUUGAGGUAGGCGGAAUGUGUCAUGUAGCGGUGAAAUGCAUAGAUAUGACACAGAACACCGAUUGCGAAGGCAGCUUACUGGGCAAUGAUUGACGCUGAGGCACGAAAAGCGUGGGGGAUCAAACAGGA
rnacentral:rRNA from 1 species